UACGUAGGGGGCAAGCGUUGUCCGGAUUUAUUGGGCGUAAAGAGCGUGUAGGCGGCUUUACAGGUCCGUUGUGAAAACUCGAGGCUCAACCUCGAGACGCCGGUGGAAACCGUAAGGCUAGAGUCCGGAAGAGGAGAAUGGAAUUCCCGGUGUAGCGGUGAAAUGCGCAGAUAUCGGGAAGAACACCAGUGGCGAAGGCGGGUCUCUGGACAGUUCCUGACGCUGAGGCACGAAGGCCAGGGGAGCAAACGGG
rnacentral:rRNA from 1 species